rnacentral:rRNA from 1 species
UACCCCGCUGGGAACUUAAGCAUAUCAAUAAGCGGAGGAAAAGAAACCAACAGGGAUUGCCCUAGUAACGGCGAGUGAAGCGGCAACAGCUCAAAUUUGAAAUCUGGCUCUUUCAGAGUCCGAGUUGUAAUUUGCAGAGGGCGCUUUGGCGUCGGCAGCGGUCCAAGUUCUUUGGAACAGGACGUCACAGAGGGUGAGAAUCCCGUACGUGGUCGCUAGCCUUCGCCGUGUAAAGCCCCUUCGACGAGUCGAGUUGUUUGGGAAUGCAGCUCUAAAUGGGAGGUAAAUUUCUUCUAAAGCUAAAUACUGGCCAGAGACCGAUAGCGCACAAGUAGAGUGAUCGAAAGAUGAAAAGCACUUUGGAAAGAGAGUCAAAUAGCACGUGAAAUUGUUGAAAGGGAAGCGCUUGCAGCCAGACUUACCUGUAGUUGCUUAUCUGGACUUUUGUCCAGUGCACUCUUCUACGGGUAGGCCAGCAUCAGUUUGGGCGGUUGGAUAAAGGUCUCUGUCACGUACCUCCCUUCGGGGUGGCCUUAUAGGGGAGACGUCAUGCAACCAGCCUGGACUGAGGUCCGCGCAUCUGCUAGGAUGCUGGCGUAAUGGCUGUAAGCGGCCCGUCUUGAAACACGGACCAAGGAGUCUAACAUCUAUGCGAGUGUUUGGGUGUCAAGCCCAGACGCGUAAUGAAAGUGAACGGAGGUGGGAACCCUUUGGGUGCACCAUCGACCGAUCCUGAUGUCUUCGGAUGGAUUUGAGUAAGAGCAUGGCUGUUGGGACCCGAAAGAUGGUGAACUAUGCUUGAAUAGGGUGAAGCCAGAGGAAACUCUGGUGGAGGCUCGCAGCGGUUCUGACGUGCAAAUCGAUCGUCAAAUUUGGGCAUAGGGGCGAAAGACUAAUCGAACUAUCUAGUAGCUGGUUCCUGCCGAAGUUCCCCCUUCAGGA